rnacentral:rRNA from 1 species
AUAAAGACCUGUAUGAAUGGCACGACGAGGGCUUAACUGUCUCCUUUCUCAAGUUAAUGAAAUUGACCUCCCCGUGCAGAGGCGGGGAUAUGAACAUAAGACGAGAAGACCCUAUGGAGCUUUAGGCACUAAAACUGAUCAUGUAAAAACCUCUAAUAAAAGAAUAUAACUUUAUGAAGCCAGUUUAACUGCC